AGUUAAAAUCCUAUUGAAUUUCACUCAAACUUUAGACCAAACAUAAUUAAAUCUUAAACCCUAAUAAAUCCUAAAUCCUAAGUCAAAUCCUAAACAAACCUUAAAUUAAAUCCUAAAUCAAAUCCUAUUUCAAAUCCUAAAUCCUAAACCAAAUCCUAAAUCCUAAUCCAAACUCUAAUCCAACCCUAAAUCCUAAUCCAAAUCCUAAAUCCUAAAUCAAAUCUUAAAUCAAACCCUAAUCCAAACCCUAAAUCAAACCCUAACCAAAUCCUAAACCCUAAUCCAAACCCUAAUCCAAUCCUAAAUCCUAACCAAAUCCUAAUCCAAACCCUAAACUCUAAAUCAAACCCUAAAUCGAAUCCUAGCCAAACCCUAAUCCAAAUCCUAAUAAUUCCUAUGACAGAUUUAAACCUUAAUAUCUAAUGAAUAAACCGUUGAUCUCAAUUCAAAAUUUGCAUACUUCUUAAAAACCAAGUUUAAAACAAGCACAAAAAAAUUUGAAAAGGAUCGGAGAACCAAAUUGACGAAAACCUCAAAAAUGUGUUCGGGUAUUAGCCGGCCUCCUUCUCCAAUCUUGAUGCCAACCUUCCAGAGCCAAUUUCUCUUCUUUGCGCCAUUCGAUUGGUUUCAAAUUUCUCAUGGACAUAGAAAAAUAAUUCUAAUACGCUCUCACAUAAGUGUUACUCUAAUCCAACUAGUAGAUUACAUGAAAUCUUAAAAACCCUUACUGGACUUGAAAUUCCACUUUCUGAGACCUUAACCCGCUUAAACCUCAAUAUCUCUCACUUCAACCGUUAGAUCGAGCUCAAAUUUACAACAUGUAUUAAACACAACUAUAAUCAUGAACCCAAAAAAUUUCACCCAUAGAUCUGCAACAAAACUCUCGAAAUCACUCAAAACAUAAACCCUAUUUUAUUUCAUAAAAUCCAAGUCAUCCGAAACAAACCUCCACUUUACAAAGCUCUUACAAAGUCAUAUCAACUCCAAAUCAUCUAAAUUUAAUGUUCAUAGAAACCCUAUCCAAUCUUCUAUCAAAUUCCACUCUCCAAUCUGCCAAAGAGUCCCGGAGUCAUCGUCGAGACUUGGUUUUGUACCUCAGGGUCUGAUUUCGAUCCUAGUUCAUAACCGGCCCUCUCUGGGUGUCAACUUUUGUCUUCUUGAGGUAAUAUUUACUAAUUUGCACUCCUAACUCCUCCCUACAUAUGUCUAUAUUCUUUAUUUUUCUAAUCUACCUUAUUUAUGGCCUUAUAAAGUAAAUAGAAGCAUAAUUUGUAAAAAAGUAGUAUUAGCACUUUUAAUUUUUCUACCCUUUUACUAAUAUCUAUUUUUCCAUGAUAAUUUGCUACAAUAUUUUUGAAGUGAGAUCCUCAAAACAUGAUGUAUUUCUUCAUCCUUUCACCUAUUAGUCAUAUUAUAUCAUGACAUCCACUCCCCCCUGAAUCUGUGCAUCCUCCGGCAAGUACCAACAAUUCUUCAAUAUGUUGAUGUCGAAUGUUCUUCAUCUUGGUACAAUUCUUAAUUUUCAGUGUGCUCUUCUAUUCCAAUCUCGAUAUCUUGUAUUGAAGUUUGUUCUUCAUCAAAAAAAAUGUCUUCAUCUCUUUGUUUAAAUAACUUGAUUCAUUUGCCUGCUAUGAGGAGCUUCGAUUUUGUACCAUCAAGUUCUUGUAAUGAAUAUGUUCCAUUGUUGUGUGCCUUUUUGACAAUAUAUGGUCCAAACCAUCUCUUUGCAAAUUUCUUCAUAGUGCUAUGUUGAUUGUCUAAGCUACUAUCAUAAACUAAUACCCAAUCACCAUCUUCAAUAGCCUUAGGUCGUAGUCAAUGUUUUUUAUCAAAUCUUUCUUUAUUCUUUUUCCUUACUUCUUUCAAUUUUUUUAUUACUAUUUUAAUAUCAUUGGGCCUUCUUUCUAGGUGUUGAAUCCGUAAUGCUAAAAGUUCUUCUCUAUUGAGAUCAUUUUUCCAAGGCAAUACACCCCAUGUACGUAUUAUAUCUUCUAUUGGUAUUAUUGGCUUUUGUCCAUAUAUUAAUUCAGAGGGCAUAUAACCUGUUAUCAAACUAUGAGUUGUACAAUCUGCCCACAAUGCAAAUGGUAGUAGUCUAGGCCAUUCAUGUGCUUUGCGAUUGCAUGCCUUUACUAAUGCCUUAACAAUAGGUGAAUGUCCAUGCUCACUUUUUCUAUUACCUUCUAGUUUAUAUGCUGUUGUCAAAGAAAGUUUAAUUCCUAUUCUACUAAAAAAAUCUCAUGCUUCUUUUGCAUCCAAUUCACUCCUAUCUGCCGUAAUAUUUUCAAUACAUCCAUAAUGACAAAUAACUUCUUCUAAUAGAAAUCAACAUACACCUUUAGUAUCCUUUGUUUUUAAUGCUCGUCCUUCAACCAUAUUCGAUAAAUCUUCUCGUGUAAGUACCAAAUACUUCAUUUGCCCAAGUCUCAUAGGCAUUGCCACUAAAUCCAUCACCCACUUGUAAUGUAAAGCCAAAUGGUAUAUUAGAUGUAAUCCAUCUCGAUGCCGAAUAUUUGAAUACACUUGGCAAGUCUCACAAGCUUCUAUAAAUUUUGUUAUGUCUUUGUACAUUCCUUUCCACUAAUAUUUUUCCUUUAACUUAGUGAAUGUUGCCCAAAUACCUCAAUGCCCUGCCCAUAAAUUUUCAUGAAAUUCUUUAAUAAUCUUUUGUUCAGCUUUUAAACCACAUAUCACCCUUUUUGGUACUUCUCCUCUCUUUUUUGGAUGCUUCCAUAAAAAUCCAUCAUGUAAAAAAUAUUCAUAGGCUUUCUUACGAAUUUUCUUAAAUUCUUGAUCCGUCCAACCUUUUUGUCGUUUUAAUAUGCUCAAAUACUCUCCAACAUCUUUCCAUUCAUUUUCAUAUAAAUCUCUUAAAAAUACUUCUAAUGGUAUAUUAAAACAUACACCCUUUUCCUUUGAUAAUGCAUUGGUAUAAAAUUUUGUACCCACAUCAUCUUCUAAAUCAAUCAUCUUUUCUUCAUCAUUAUACCUUGCUCUCAAUAAUAUAUUUGCAACUGAAUUUUCUUUCCCUGCAAUAUGUUUAAAUUCAAGAUUCAUAGAUUUGAUAUAUGCUAUCCACCUCAACAUAACAAUAUCAGGAGUUGAACAACUUGUAAUCAUGCCUAACAAAGGUAGACAAUCUGUUUCUAUAACUUUUGAUGUUCCAAUCAAGUACUCUUUUUUAUUUUUCAUAGCUAUUAUUAUACUCCAUAAUUCUCUUUUGAUUUGCAUAUAUGCCCUUUGCUUGGAAUUCAAUACCUUUGCUCCAAAACUUACUACAUAUCUAUUUCCUUGUUCAUCAUCUUGUCCAACCGCCCAACCUAUUCCAAUUGGACUUGCAUCAACUGUUAAUACCACUGGCCUUCCACCUUCAUAAUUUACUUUCUUCAAAGUUAGAGAUGAAGAAAGAAGUUCUUUCAAUUUUUCCAUAGCUCUCCGUUGUUCUUUUUUCCAUUGAAAUUUUUGAUUCUUUCUUAACAACUCAUACAAUGGAUCUGUUAUAUGUGCAAAGUGAGGUAUCCAUAUAUGAUAGAAAAUACAUGCUCCUAAAAAUCUUCUCACUUCCAUUGUAUUUGUACAUUCUUUCAUCUUUUUAAUAAUAUCAAUCUUUUAUAUACUUGGCUUACGUCCAUAUGAACCACAUAUGUGUCCUACCACCAAAAUUUCUUUUACUCCAAAUAUUGAUUUUGUCCCCGAUAAGGUUAAAUGAACUUCUUCCAAUCUUUUCAAAAUCUUCUCACAAUCUUUAAUAUGAUCUGCCACAAACUUCCUACAUCCCUUUGAAUCUAAAGUUUCAUCCUUUCUUUCUUCUUCACAUCCCUUAAUAGGUACAUCAUCUAAGAAAGGCAUUGUUAUUCUUGGAAUAAAAUCUCUUAAUACCUUAUGCAUUCCAUUCAUCAUAUGUGCUACAGAAUUUAUAGCCCCUUGUAGUAAUGUGCACAUUCUAACCAAUCCUAAUGGUGUCUUCAUAGUUAUCAAAUCCCUACUUUAUAUUGCCAAUUGAAAUUGAUCAUAAACUGAAUAAAGAUCACCCAUUGAGUAGAUAGCUCUUCCAGCAAAUGCUUCUGCAAAUUCAUCCACAAUUGGACUUGAUCCUAUAUUUCUAAUAGUCACUUUAUUUUUGGGUUGCAUAUCUUGUAUAAAUCUCAUUGUUCCAUUUUUCUUUGGCACUGUAAACCAUCGAUUAGAAUAAGGUGCUAUAGAUGGUUCCAAAAUUUCCAUUUUAAUCUUUUCAUUGAGUAAAUCUACUAACUAAGAUAAAUACAUUCUUGGUACUGAAAUUGGUCGUAAAUUCCAUGGUUCAUGAGGAAUAAUAAAAAUAACCAUGGAUGCUACAAUAUUUGGAUCAACACACCGAAUUUCAUGUGCUUCAAAUGCGAAAGCUUUUCUAUGAUGAAAAAACAUAUCCUUAAAAUAUUUUUCUUCACAUUUUAUCAAAAAUCCAUCACCUCGAAUAUUUAACCCAUCUAAUAUAACAUCCAUAAAUUUAUGCCCUAUCUUUCUUGGAUCUCUUAGAUUUAGUUGUGUCGAUGCUCUACUUAUCAUUUCUUCACAAUCAGAUGGUAAUGGCAAAGCCAUUGGUUUGACUUUCUUUGCUACUGAUUUAUACUUAGUUUCAAUAUAUACCUCUUGGCAACUUAAAUUUUUUUUAAAUCCUUGAAUUUCAUCAUAAAAUUCUUUAGAACAUACAUUAAUAACUCUAUUCUCUACUUGUAAUCCACAUUAUAAUAGAUAAUUUAAUUCCUCCAUAGUAUCUGUAAAACCUACUUCUUCAUAUGCUCUUGAAAUAAAUUCAUUUUCAACCAAUUCUCCAUUUUCUUUCAAAUUUUUUUCAAUAUUUUUAAUAUAACAUCUGUCCCUCUUUUUUAUUUUGUUAAUAGUCUUAAAGUCAAUACACAAUCUUGUGUCAUCCUAAUAAGUCCGGUAGAUAACAAUUCUUCUUCUAAUUUAAGUGAGAGCUUUUUUUUCUCUAAUCCAUUGCAACUCCACCUUACAAUGGUGUGUGGUCAAAAUCCUCAAGGUCUUUAAAUUUCUCUUUUGAUAUUAGUUUCUCUCUCAAGUUAUCACGAUUUCUCUCAUGAUUAGCACAAACAGUUAAAAAUUGAACUGCUUUCAUCCCAUCUUGGCUUCUUAUUCUUGCAUAAGGUGAACCAUCAUCCAUUACAUUUGUUUCCAUUCGUGUGGAAAUAAUAUAUGGUUGUCCCAAUAUAAUAGGGUAUGUAGACAUGUCUUGCACAAAGAAAUUCUGUUCAUGAAUAACAUCUCCAAUUGUCACUUUGAUAUUUGGACAUGCUCCAUACAAAUCUUCCUUUGAAUUAUUUGCAGCUCUUAUCAUCCACCCAUGUUCAGUAUCAAUAGGCCAUUUUUCCUUGUUAUAUAAUUCCUUUGACAUCAAAUUGAUUUCAAAACCAUGAUCAAUUAAUGCUACAACUGGUUCUUCUAAAUUUCCCAAUUUUAUUAAAGUCUCCGUUGUGUCCUUAUCCAAUGACUUCUAGAAUAAUGGCUAGAAGCUUGAAUGACAUCUUCUUUUUUUGCAAACCUUACUUGCAAGACAUCUCCAAAAUUUUGUAUUUCAUCUUCUUCAUCUUCAUUUCUUUCCAUUGCUCUUAUUCCUUGUGCAUUUGAUGUCAUAGAGUCUCCUAUAGAUUAUCAUUUUCUCUUUAUUGUAUCAAUAAUAACUUCAUGAAACUCACGCUUUGCAAUUCCUAGAAUUUCACCAAUUAUGAAUUCAAUCUUUUCACUUAAAAUCCGCUCUUCCAAUACCUUCUUUAAAUCUCUAGCUGCUUCAAUAUCUGAUUGUAAUUUAUAAGCAGGAGCCUUUGCUUUUUCUUUUCCAAUUUUCCUCUCUUUUGUAGAAAUAUUCUCCAUUAUCUCUUCAUGAAUAGAAUUCUUUUGUUGUCGUAUUUUUUUCCUCCUUGUAGUUCUUUUUGAGGGCCCUUCAUUAUUUCCAUCUCUCCUUUGUUUUUUUUCUAUUAAUGCUUCAUGUUGACUCCUUGCAAUAUGAGCAUGUACAGAUAAUCUAUCUACUGGAUCAUCUCAUCUAGUAAUUUGUCGAAUGUUAUUACCAACAUGUUUUAAAUCAUCUCUAGUAAAAUUUCUCCUUUCAGCAUACCUCAUUGCACUUGUCCACAAAGAACUAGAUUCUCCUAAAAACUCAAGAUUUAUACUUAAAUAUCUACUAGAAUCUACUUCUACCCAAUAUGUUGAUGCUUCAUUGUUUGAGAUUGUCUGCACUUUAAAAGUAUCUCCAAUAAAUAACUUCAUUCUUCCUUUACCAAAAUUUGUUUCUAAUUUUUCUCCAUUUUCUUUUGAGUGUAUCAUACCAUCUCUAAAAAAACAACUCCUUUACGUAAUGCCUUUGUAAAUUCUUCACAUUUCUUCCUUGAGUGAUCUAUGCUAUCACACCACAUGCAUCUAUGUACUACACCCUCUAUUAGCCUUGGUCUUUGUUUUGUUGAUAUUCUUGAUGAUUGACCUUUCUCUUCAAGUUUUAUAAAUUUUAUUUAUAAAUCUCUCAUCCCACAUAUGAUUUCAUCAAUUUCCAUUUCUUCUUUCUUUGUUGUAGCCAUUGAAGGUUGAAUCAAAGAUGUCGGAUGGAUACUAGACACCUUUAUCUUAGAUGCUAGUAAUGGUCUUUGAUCUUUUCCCAUAUCUUUUCUCUUUUCUCUUUUUGUCAACAUCCUUACAGUAUCCUCUACCCUUUCCUAAUUUGUUGUCAAUCCUUCAUCUUCUUCUUUAUCUUCAAGCAUGAAUUCCAACUUCUCUUACAACUUUCCAUCAGCUACUUGAAGAAAAAGCUCCACCUUACUUGGAUCCAAUAAUUAUCUUUCUUUCUUUGAUAAAGAAAAAUAUUGCUUUUCAAACUCCCUUAAUAAUUCUAUUAUUAGAAGAUCCUUCUCUGGCUUUUCAAUCCAUUCAAAAAAAGACCUUUUUGUAAUCCUAUCACUAUCUUCUAAGAAAAACUCAUCCUUCAAAGCUUGAGAAAAUUUCUCCCAUGAACCUCCAAAGUAUUGUAUAAGAAACUUAACUUGAUUUCUUAUCUCUCGUGUAGAGGCUAAUUCAAAUAAUUGAACCAUCUCGCUUUCUGAAAUACGCUUCAAUUUCAUUUCUUUUACAUAACAUCUUAAAUAUUUUGUAAUAUCCUUUCCUUCAAAUUCAUCGUUCUUGUCCACGACUGCUUCUAAUGCUUUGUUAGCCAUAUUCUCUUUGUGAUCUUUAACAUGUUGCUCUUGUUGUUGCAUGAAUAAGGUCAAAGCUUCAAACAUGCUUGUAGAGUUAGGAUCAAAAUGUAUACCUUGUCCUCCAAAUGAAGCUCUUCUUUCAACUCCACUUGAAGCACUAUCCAAACUGCCUCCUUCCAUUCUCCUUUAAUUCCUUCUCCAAAAUUCAAAUAGUAAAAAUAAUAAUGAAUUCCUUCCACCUCAAGCAUUUCACAUUCUCAUAAUACGUGCUUCUUUGCUCGAGAACACGCCGGGCGUCUGGCUCUAGAAGAUAGUAUGGAGAUUCGCCAAUAUUCAAGCAGUCUAUCGGUUAUUGACUGUUGGAAUAUAAACGAUUGCAAGAAUACACCGUAAAUCUAUAUGGAUGCCCUUCGACUGCUUGCCGAAGUCCUUUUUGUCCCAGCCGGUAGGUCUCUAGACAUUACAGAGAACCCCGAACAACCCAAACUGCUAAUCUUUGAUACCACUUUAUACUCACGAUCUUGUAUCCACUGACUAUCUCGUUAGUUUAAUCCAAUAAAUUUCAAUCACUCCACAUACGCAAUCCUAUAGACACCCUUUUAAUUCUUCAAUCACAGACGUAACUUUGAUUUCACAAAACAGUCAAGAGUAAUCAAACCCACUUCAUUAAAAAUCCCGAUUCACCAUUACAACACUGACUUCAGCAACGAUUGCCUCAGUCUUUCCAAAACCCUAUGAAGAAAAAAACCCAAUUCUCUGUCUUUUCUUCCCCAACCCGAAGCAUGAAGCUCUUUCCUUGAUCCUUCUCAAAACCUUCAAAAAAACUAUUUUUUUCCCCCCUCUCAUUUCUUAACCUUAAUUCUAAAUUUCUUCAAUCUUCCAUCUUGGAUCCGAAAUUGGUUCUCGCCGUCAGAGCUUGGAUCUGAAAUUGGCUCUCGUCGUCAGAGCUUUCUCCUCCGUUUUUAUCCUUAAGAGAUCUUUUUAUCGAAAAGACGUUCCCAGAACAGCACAAAGGACGGAACAGCCUGAAACAAAAUCGGAGACCCGUAAUCGGGACCACAUUGAGUCGCCUGACCAAUUCAGGUCUCAUAUUGGGUAAGAGUCUAGUAGUAGGAUCCGGAUGUUCCCGUAAUUGGAUCAAAUUGGUCCUUCGCGUCAGAUUGGCUGAGGCUUGUAGUAAGACCUAGAUUUUCCCGUAAUUAGACUGCAUUGGAUUGUCCGACCAAUUCAAGUCUCAUAUUGGGUAAGAGGACCUGGAUUGGAUGUCUUGAAAUUGGAUCCAAUUGGCUCUUCGAACCAGGCUCACCCGUCGUUGAAUUGGUCCUUUUCUUUUUUUGCUGACUCCCGUUAUUUGAAUCGAACGGAGCAUUUCAGUAUGCCCCGGUUGACUGUAACGGGGUGAUUGACCCUGGCCUCUCAGUAUUUGCACUGGAAUUGGUGGUUGCCCCUAAUAUUAAAGAUAACUAAAUAUUAAUAAAAUUAUCCUUUCUUUAUAUUUUCAUGGUAUACUCGUAUUAUAACACGACAUUCACCCCCUCUGAACCUAUGCAUCCUCCGGUAUGCACCAAUUUAUCCAAUUGCUGUUUGAUUUAAAAUAUAUCCUCUACGUCUUUGUCCAAUUCGUCUUCGUCACCUUCAUUAUCCAAAUCACUUUCAUCUUCUUGCUGCGGAAUCUCUAUACCUUCAUUAAGGUCUUCCAUAUUCAUCUCCGCGUGUCUUUGUUUAAAUAUUUUUACUCGCUUCCCUGCAACUGGUAUUUUCAAUUUUAUACCAUCUAACUCUCGUAAUGAGUAAGUCGCAUUAUCAUGAACAGUUGUUACUACGUAUGGUCCAAACCAACGUUUUAAAAAUUUCCGCAAAGUACUAUGUUGAUUAUCCAGACUAUUGUCAUAAACAACUACCCAAUCACCUUCCUCGAUUGCUUUAGGUCUCAAUCGAUGUUGCUUAUCGAAUCACGCUUUGUUUUGUAAUCUUGCUGUUUUUAACCUUUCCAAUGCUAUCUGCACAUCUUCCGAUCUUUGCUCCAAUUGUCGAAUCCUAACAGCCAAAAGUUCUUCUCUUGUCAAUCCAUCUUCCCAUGGUAGCAUACUCCAAGUAAGUACCUUUUCUUCAAUCGGCAUAAUUGAUUUUCGACCUGUCAUAAGUUCUACUGGCAUAUAUCCUGUCACCGAAUUAUGUGUUGUUCGAUCAGCCCAUAAUACAAAUGACAAAAGCUGUGGCCACUCUCUAACUUUCCCAUUACAAGCUUUAACUAAUGCUUUCACAAUCGGUGGGUGACCGCGUUCGCUUUUUGCAUUCCCUUCUGGAUUAUAAGCAGUAGUUAGUGAUAGUUUAACUCCACAUCUUUCAAAGAACUUACGAGCUUUUUGUGCAUUUAAUUCUCCAUGAUCUGCAGUGAUUUUUCCUAUGCAUCCGUAGCGGCAAAUGACAUCUUCAAGCAAAAACCUACAAAUCCCCUCUGUAGAUUUUGUCCUCAAUGCUCUUCUUUCUACUUGAUUUGAUAAAUCUUCACGAGUUAAAACCAAAUAUCUCAUCUGCCAUAAUCCAACUGGCAUAAUAACCAAAUCAACAACCCAUUUAAAAUGAAUAGCCAGAGGAUACGUAGGAUGAAGACCAUCUCGAUGUCGGAUAUUAGAAUACGAUUGACAGAUUUCACAUGACUCUACAAAUGAGAGCACACCUCGAUACAUAUUUUUCCACCAAUAUCGUUCCUUGAAUUUAGCAAAAGUAGCCCAGAUUCCUCUAUGCCCUGCCCAUAAACUAUCAUGAAACUCUUUUAAUAAUUUUAGUUUUUCUUCUUUUUUGCCUAUCACUUGUUGUGGCAUCCCAAUUCCUUUCUUCGGUCUAUUCUAUAAGAAUCCAUCUCAAAGUAAAAAUCCAUAUGCUUUUUUUCUUAUUUGUUUGAAUUUUUUUAUAGACCAAUUCCCCUGCUUAGACAAGGUAUUCAAGUAAUGACCAAUAUCCAAUAAUUUUCCUUCAUAAGAUUCUUCAAGAAAUAGCUUGUCCUCCCUGUUGAGAUUUGAUAUUGAAUAGAAUUUCAAUCCGACGUCAUCAAUGUCUUCAACCAUUUCGUCCUCCCUCUCGUAUCUUGCUCGAGAUACCAUGUCUGUUACUAAAUUGUCCUUCCCAAUAACAUGCUUAAAUUCCAGAUUUAGUGACUUAAUAUAAGCAAUCCAUCUCAACAUUGCAAUAUCUGGCGUUGAAUAGUUAAUAAUCAUUCCAAGCAAUGGCAAGCAAUCUGUUUCAAUUACUACUACUGCCCCAAUCAAAUAGUCCUUUUCAGCUUUCAUAGCCGAAACAACUCCCCAAAGUUCUCUUUUGACUUGCGAAUAUGCACGCUGACGAAUACUUAAAACUUUAGCCCCAAAUCGAACUGCAAAUCUACUCCCAUUCGAAUCAUCUUGACCCACCGCCCAUCCAACGGCAAUUGGACUAGCGUCUACAGUAAGAAUCACUGGUCUAUUGCACUUAUAAUCAACCUUCCUCAAUAUUGGAGGUGACAUCAAUAAUUUCUUCAAUCUUUGCAUUGCCUGAAUAUGCCUUUCUUUCCAUUCAAAUCGGUAACCCUUGCGUAACAGUUCAUAUAAUGGAUCCGCUAUGUGAGCAAAAUGAGGGAUCCAGAUUCGAUAAAAUACACAUGCACCCAAAAACCUGCGAACCUUUGUUAAAGAAUCACAAUCCUCUUUCAUCCUUUCAAUUGCAUCAACUUUAGUCGGAUCUGGUUUUCUUCUAUAAGAUCCACAUAAAUGUCCAACAAUCACAACCUCUCGUACUCCAAAUACGGACUUCAUACCCGAUAAUGUAAGAUGAAUUUCUCCAAGCCAAGUUAAAAUCUUUUCAUAAUCUUGUAUAUGAUCAACAACAUAUUUGCGACACCCCCUCGUAUCUAAAGUUUCAUCCUUGUCUCCUUCUCUGCACACUUUUAUAGGAACAUCAUCCAGAAAAGGCAUAGUCUUUUCCAUAAUAAAAUCUCUCAAUACCUUAUUCAUCCCAUUCAUCAUAUGCGCAACUGAGUUGGUCGCGCCUUGAGGAUGAGUGCACAUUCUAACCAAUCCAAGUGGUGUCCUCAUUUUUGUCAUAUCUCUACUUCCUUCGGCAAGUUGAAAUUGAUCAUAACCUGAAUACAAGUCACCCAUUGAAUAGAUCGCCCUUCCUACAAACGCCUCAGCAAAUUCAUCCACAAUAGGUCCAAUUCUUGCAUUCUUGACAGUGACUGCAUUCACCGGUUGCAUAUCUUGAAUAAAAUGUAGUGACCCAUUUUUCUUAGGUACCCUAAACCAUCAACUAGAAUACGGCACAAAUGAGGGUUCCAAUAUUUUCAUCUUUAUCUUUUCUUUUAAUAGUUCCACCAAUUUAGGUAAAUGUGCCCUCGGUACUAGAAUCGAUCUUAGAUUCCAAGGUACAUGCGGUACAGUGAAGAUAACCAUAGGUGUUAUAAUAUUUGGAUCCACACACCCAAUUUCAUGAUAUUCGAAAGCAAACGAUCUACCUUAUUUAGCCAACAUCUUUUUGAAGCAAGUAAUUUCCUCCGGCAAUAAAGAACCAUCACAACCAAUCUUCAAUUCUUUAAAAGUCUCUUUAGUAAACUAAUGUCUAAUACUCAUUGGAUCUCUUAAACUUGCUUCUUUUGAUGCUUCUCCCAUUUAUUCUUUAGAAUCUUCUGGCAAUGGUCCGACAACAGGCUUUACCUUCUUAUCUGUCGUUUUAUAUCUCGUCUCUACAAUGACUUCUGGUGCUUGAAAAGAUUCAAGUAUGGUAUAAACCUCUCUUGAAUGAAUUUCAACAAUCUUAUCAUUAUCUCCUAACCCAAUAGAUGUAAUCAAUUUCAAUGAAUCUUCCAAUCCAUUUUCUUCAUAAACACCUAAAAUCCUCUCAUCAUCUUACAAUGUACCUAACUUGCAUAAUUCUCUUUCAAUAUUAUAUAAUCUUUUUCUUUCUUUUCUUUUAAAAUCAUCAACUUUCUUAUACAUAAUAUUUCCAUUUUCCAAUAUAUUAAUAAAACUCGUAUCAAAGGUAUCUUCAUCUCGUGAGAGUACCUCCUCUUUUGUACCUCCAUAAUCUCACUUUACAAUGGUACCUCCUCAAAAUCCUUAAAUCCUUCAACAAUCUUUGACAAUGGUUUCUCCCUCAACCUAUCUCGAUUCCGUUCAUGGUUAAGAGGUACUGUUAGAAAUUGUACAACUUUCUUCCCAUCCUCGCUACGUACCCUUGCAUAAGCAGAGCCAUCGUCUAGUACUUUUGUUUCCAUCCGUGUUGCCAUAAUAUAAGGUUGUCCUAAAAUCAACGGAUAAGACGUUGUAUCUUGAACAAAAAAAUAUUGCUCCGUCGCAACAUCCCUAAUCCGAAUUUUGACAUCUGGACAAGCUCUAUAUAAUUCGCCUCGUGUGUUAUUAGUUGCUUGUAUUGCCCAUCCAUGUUCCAUAUCAAUUGGCCAUUUUUGCUUCUUAUAAAGAUCUUUAGACAUGAGAUUUAUUUCAGGACCAUGGUCGACUAAAGCAACAAUUGGUUCUUCUAUAUCUCCUACUUUCACCAAUACCUCAGUAGUUACCCUUGCCCAAUGCUUUUGAGUAUAAUGGCUCAAAGUUUCCAUUUCCUUGUCACUAUAAUCUUCGAAACGUACUCGCUGAUUAUACCCAUUCUUUUCAUUUGUUGGUUGCUUGUAACUAAUAUCAACCUCUUCUUCAUCUUUAUAUAUUCUUGCAUCAAUAGCAUGACUCAUUCCAGUUUCGCUCAUUAAUUGCCUCUUUCGCUUAAUGCUGUCAAUGAUAACAUCAUGAAACUCCUUCUUUGCAAUUCUCAGGACUUCUUUCAAUGUGAAUUCCACCUUAGCAUUUAAUAUACGUUCUUCCAACAUCCCUUUCAAAUUUGUUGCCGCUUCAAUGUCAGAAAAUAGCUUAUAAGUAAUUGAUUUGCCCUUAUCUUUUGUCUCCCUUGUUUUUUCUUCCAAUGAUGCUGAGGUAUCUUUUAUAGGCAAUUCUUGUGAAGCUGCCUCCCGAGCCUUGUCUCCUCGAGUUUGCCUCUUAGAAGAAUUCCCUUCUCUGGUAUCAUCAAAAUUUCCUCGUCUCUCUUCUUCCACCAAAGCUUCAUGUUGGCUCUUAGCAAUAUAUGCAUGAACUGAAAGAGACUCAACAGGAUCCUCUCAACCUGUUGCACCUCGUAUUGUAGCUGCAGUCCUCAAUAACGCUUCUCGAGGUAAUUUCCCUUCUUGUAUUGUAGAAAUAACAGAAGCCCAAAACUCACUAGUUUUCGUUCUUCCACCAAAGUCAUCAUCUACUCUAGCACCAUAACUUGCACUUUCUUAUGCUGUUAUUUCAUGCACUUUUAAGUAAUCUUGAACCAAUGCUCUCAUUCUUCCCUUGCCAAAAUUGGUUUGAAGAAGAUCCUCCCUAUCUUUUAAUGCUAUCUUCCCAUCUUUCCAGUAAAUAAUUCCUUGCCGUAUCAUAUUAUUUAAUUCAUUGCAAUCGUUUCUAGUGUGUGAAGCGUCAUCACACCAAAUGCAUCUUUGUACAUAUCCUUGUUUUGAAACAUUCUUCCAAUUAUUUGUAGAAGUAUUUUCUUCAAGUCUUGUCAAUUUGAUUUGAAGAUCUCGCAUUCCUCAUAUAAUUUCUUCCAUCUUCAUAUCUGCUUUCUUUGAUAAGGAUGUCGAAGGUUGAACUGUAGGCAUUGUUGGUGGUGUUGUACGUACUGGAGCUUUGGGUGCUUAUACUGUUUUUGGAAUAUUGCUCCUAUCCUUCCUCCUUUCUCUUUUUGCAAGAUAUCCUACCGCAUCUUCAACGUUCUUCCACUUUGUUGUCAAUCCUUCAUCUUCUUCUUUGUCUUCAAGAAGGAUUUCCAAUUUCCCUUACAAUUUAUCAUUAGCAGCUUGAAGAAAUAGAUCAACUUUGUUCGGCUCUAAUGUUAAUUUUUCUACCUUUGAUAAUUGAGAGUACUGCCUCUCAAAUUUCUUUAGUAGCUCUGUUGCUUGCUAAUUCUUAUGAAGCCAUUUAAUCCAUUCCAGAAACAGCUUCUUAGUAAUGCGAUCAGCAUCUUCUAAGAAAUAUUUAUCUUUCAAUACAUGUGAAAAAACCUCCCAUGAAUUUCCAUAACGAUCCAUAAUCGAUGUAAUAUGGUCUCUUAUCUCUAGUAUCGUGGCAAGUCCAAAUAAUUCAACCAUUUUCUUCUCAGAAACCCGAUUUAAUUCCAUUUCACGAACAUAACAUCUUAAAUACCUUGAAAUAUUCCUUCCAUCAAAUUGAUCAAUUUUAUUGACCACUGCUUGUAAUGCUUUGGUUGCCAAAGCUUCUUUUCGAUCAUUGCUUUGCUGUUGCUGCAUUGAUAUUGAGAAGGCUUAAAACAUACUAGCAAUAGACGGAUCCAUGUGCAUACCUUGUCCUUUAGAAAAACCCCCACCAGAAACUCCUCCAAAAGAUCCUUCAAAAUUUUUAUUUUCGUUUUCCAUAAAAAUAAAAAUAAAAUCAAACGAAAUCCAAUACCUUCUAUCUCAAGCUUUCACGUUGGGUUCACCACUUAUGUCGUAUUACGUGCUUUCUUGCUCGAGAAUGCACCGGGCGUGUGGCUGUAGAAUGUAGUAUGGAGAUUCACCAAUAUUCAAGCAGUCUAUCGGUUAUUAACUGUUGAAAUAUAAACGAUUGCAAGAAUACACCAUAAAUCUAUAUGGAUAUCCUUCGACUGCUUGCCGAAGUCCUUUUUGCCCCAGCCAGUAGGUCUCUAGAUAUUACAGAGAACCCCGAACAACCCAAACUACUAAUCUUCGAUACCGCUUUAUACUCACGAUCUUGUAUCCACUCACUGUCUUGUUAGAUGAACCCAAUAAAUUUCAUUCACUUUGCAUACUCAAUCCUAUAGACACCCUUUUAAUUCUUCAAUCACAGACGUAACUUUGAUUUCACAAAACAGUCAAGAAUAAUCAAACCCACUUCAUUAAAAAUCCCGAUUCACCAUUACAACACUGACUUCAGCAACGAUUGCCUCAGUCUUCCCAAAAUCCUAUGAAGAAAAAAACCCAAUUCUCUGUCUUUUCUUCCCCAACCCGAAGCAUGAAGCUCUUUCCUUGAUCUUUCUCAAAACCUUCAAAAAAACUAUUUUUUUCCCCCCUCUCAUUUCUUAACCUUAAUUCUAAAUUUCUUCAAUCUUCCAUCUUGGAUCCAAAAUUGGCUCCCGUCGUCAGAGCUUGGAUCUGAAAUUGGCUCUCGUCGUCAGAGCUUUCUCCUCCGUUUUUACCCUAAAGAGAUCCUUUUAUCAAAAAGACGUUCGUAGAACAGCACAAAGGACGGAACAGCCUGAAACGGAAUCGGAGCCCUAUAAUCGGGACCACAUUGAGUCGUCCGACCAAUUCAGGUCUCAUAUUGGGUAAGAGUCUAGUAGUAAGACCUGGAUGUUUCCGUAAUUGGAUCAAAUUGGUCCUUUGCGUCAGAUUGGCUGAGGCCCAUAGUAAGAUGUGGAUUUUCUUGUAAUUAGACUGCAUUGGGUUGCCAGACCAAUUCAGGUCUCAUAUUGGGUAAGAGGACCCGGAUUGGAGGUCUUGAAAUUAGAUCCAAUUGGCUCUUCGAACUAGGAUCACCCAUCGUUGAAUUGGUCCUUUUUCUUUUUUGCUGACUCAUGUUAUUGGAAUCGAACAAAGCAUUUGAGUAUGUCCCAGCUGACUGUAACAGGGUGACUGACCUUGACCUCCCAGUAUUUGCACUGGAAUUGGUCAUUGCCUUCAAUAUUCGAGGUAACUAAAUAUUAAUAAAAGUCCCCUUUCUUUAUAUUUUCACGGUAUACUCGUGUUACAACAUGACAACGUCAGGUUCACCAAAUAUGUCGUAAUAUGUGAAGUCUUACUUGAGAAUGCUCCGGGCACUUGGCUGUAGAAGAAAGAAUAGAAAUUGCGAUAACAAAAUCCUAAUUCUAAUAGAAUACUAACAAUGCUCUAAUUAGACUAUAAUAAUAGUAUACAAACGUAAUCAAAUUCAAAAUAACUCAAAGAAAUUUCAAACAAACAAUAAAAUUCUUAAAGAAAUAUUAGAAUGAAUACAAAUACUACUCAAAUAUAUGUCAAUUCAACCUUAAUUUAAUUCUAGUUAAAAUCCUUUUGAAUUUCAUUCAAACUUUAGACCAAACCUAAUUAAAUCUUAAAUUCUAAUAAAUCCUAAAUCAUAAGUCAAAUCCUAAACAAACCUUAAAUUAAAUCCUAAAUCAAAUCCUAUUUCAAACCCUAAAUCCUAAACCAAAUCCUAAACCGUAAUCCAAACUCUAAUCCAAUCCUAAACUCUAAUCCAAAUCCUAAAUCCUAAACCAAAUCUUAAAUCAAAUCCUAAUCCAAACCCUAAAUCAAACCCUAAUCAAACCCUAAACCCUAAUCUAAAUCCUAAUCCAAAUCCUAA
rnacentral:lncRNA from 1 species